rnacentral:rRNA from 1 species
CUAUACAAAGGUAUUGAAAUAAGACUUUAAUUGAGUGCUAAGAGAAUGGAAUUACAGGAAAAAUCUUUUUUAAACUUAACAAUUAAAGUUAUUUUUACUUGUGAAGAAACAGUAAUAGAAAUUAAGGACAAGAAGACCCUAAGAAUUUUUAGAAACAUAUUUCAAUAAAGAAGAUAUGUUUCUUUAAUUGGGGCGAUUAAUUAAUAUUCAAAACUUUUUUGAAAAAACAUGAACCGUUUAAUAGCGGUAAAUUGGUAAAAAUACUCUAGGGAUAACAGCGUAAUAAUUUUCGAUAGUUCAUAUUGACAAAAUAGUUUGCGACCUCGAUG